GCCGAUUAUCCUUCUUUUCUCGAUCAACUCCAACAGUGUUUCCAUAUACUUGGUCAUUUGAUCAUUAAACCUAUCCAUGUUAGUAGUAAUGUUGGUUAUCCUUGACAUCAUCUAAUGAUACACAGCGGAAUAUACAUUCAAGGAUUAGAUCUAGAUUUACAAAUGCAUCAUGUGUAGAGAUAGGCACACAACGAAAGGAAUAACUUACCCGUUGUGUGGUAAACGUGGGUCUCGAUUCUUGCCGUGAAUCCACUACUAAGGUAUCCACGUGUAUGUCGAUUCGAUGCAGGAACUAUUCCAAGUGCACGAUUCAAUCGUCGACAGCUAGGAAAUCUCCGAUUGAAACUAUAGUGCUCUCUUAGUGUUUGC
rnacentral:lncRNA from 1 species